GAUGAACGCUGGCGGCGUGCCUAAUACAUGCAAGUCGAGCGAACAGACGAGGAGCUUGCUCCUCUGACGUUAGCGGCGGACGGGUGAGUAACACGUGGAUAACCCACCUAUAAGACUGGGAUAACUUCGGGAAACCGGAGCUCAAACAGGACAAAAUAUUGAACCUCAUGGUCGAAUAGGGAAAAACGGUUUUGUCUUCUUUUAUGCAAUGAUCCACGCCGCAUUAGCUAUUUGGUAAGGUAACAGCUGACCAAGGCAACGAUGAGGACCCGACCCGAGAGGGUAAUCGCCAAAACUGGACCUGAGCCACGGUCCAGACUCCUACGGGAGGAACAAGGAGGGAAUCAUCCGCAAUGAGGGAAAGCCUGCCGGGGCAACGCCGCGUGGGUGAUGCAGGUCUUCGGAUCGUAAAACUCUGUUAUUAGGGAAAAACAAAUGUGUAAGUAAAUAUGCACGUCUUGACGGUACCUAAUCAGAAAGCCACGGCUAACUACGUG
rnacentral:rRNA from 1 species